rnacentral:ncRNA from 1 species
UUAUUUGAGAGUUUGAUCCUGGCUCAGGAUGAACGCUGGCGGCGUGCUUAACACAUGCAAGUCGAGCGAAGCAUUAAAACCGAUUUCUUCGGAAAGAAGUUUUAAUGACUGAGCGGCGGACGGGUGAGUAACGCGUGGGUGACCUGCCUCAUACAGGGGGAUAACAGACAGAAAUGUCUGCUAAUACCGCAUAAGCGCACAGUGCUGCAUGGCACAGUGUGAAAAACUCCGGUGGUAUGAGAUGGACCCGCGUCUGAUUAGCUAGUUGGUAAGGUAACGGCUUACCAAGGCGACGAUCAGUAGCCGGCCUGAGAGGGUGAACGGCCACAUUGGGACUGAGACACGGCCCAAACUCCUACGGGAGGCAG